rnacentral:rRNA from 1 species
GAUGAACGCUGGCGGCGUGCCUAAUACAUGCAAGUCGAGCGAACGGACGAGAAGCUUGCUUCUCUGAUGUUAGCGGCGGACGGGUGAGUAACACGUGGAUAACCUACCUAUAAGACUGGGAUAACUUCGGGAAACCGUAGCUAAACCGGAAAAAUUUUUUGAACGCAAGGGUUCAAAAUGAAAAGACGGCUUUCUUGUCAUUUAUAGAUGGAUCCGCGCUGCAUUAGCUAGUUGGUAAGGUAACGGCUUACCAAGGCAACGAUGCAUAGCCGACCUGAGAGGGUGAUCGGCCACACUGGAACUGAGACACGGUCCAGACUCCUACGGGAGGCAGCAGUAGGGAAUCUUCCGCAAUGGGCGAAAGCCUGACGGAGCAACGCCGCGUGAGUGAUGAAGGUCUUCGGAUCGUAAAACUCUGUUAUUAGGGAAGAACAUAUGUGUAAGUAACUGUGCACAUCUUGACGGUACCUAAUCAGAAAGCCACGGCUAACUACGUG